UGAGGGGUGAGCGCCCGGCACCGGGAGGCUGAGGGGGCAGAGCGGGAACCGAUGACGGUCCUGUCACGAAGAGCGCCCGUGGGAAAGCGCUGCUGAAGAGAGACCGCUGCUCGCAGCGCCUGGGAUGCGAGGGGAGAGGAGGUUUGCCAAGCCGACACGGCACGAGAGGGGAGUCUCAGCCCACUGGCGUGCCAAGGGCAAACUGGAGGGGCAGGGCACCCGAAUGAAGGCACCCCCGGACCGGCUGGCCCUGGGGAGUAGAGGAAGCCCCCUCAGAAAUAAUGGGACAUCUAUGACCCCAAAGUCUUCAGUCCUCCCUUCUCGAGUCCAGCUAACCAGAACUUGAAACUGCAGACUCUUGGGAGGUACCACGAUGAACGACUUAUGAUCUCUAGAUUCUAUUACAAUAGAAGUCUAUAAACCAGUAAUACCUUUGUCUUAUGUAGUGUUUUUCAUGUGUGUAUAUCAUAGCAUUUACAUAUAUGAAUAGCAGUUGAAAAAAUGUACCCACACAUGUUUCUGUUCCCUCUUAGUUCAUCUCUUAUUUUUCCAUACACAAAGAAUGUACAUCAAAAUAUCUUGACAACCUUUAUAUAUAUAUCAUGAAUGACUAUUACAUUUUCUUCAAUGUAAUUUAGUUGUCUUAAUAUAUAUAUACUAACUAAAGAAACAAAUAUUCUGU
rnacentral:lncRNA from 1 species